CUCUCCCCAUACGACCAUUCUGCAACGUAUGUAUAAUAACAUGUUCUGUCAUGCUCUCUUUGUUUCUCCUGGUGCUUCAGUGUUGCUGAUCCAGACGUCACCUCCUCGUCCCUGGCUCAGAGACAGCCGGCCUGCAGCAGAGUGGAGGAGCUCCAGCAUAGAGCUGCUCAGCUCCCCACUUUGUUCCCCUGGCCCGGCGCUUCUGAGCGCAGACACAUCUGCCUUCAAGCCCGUCAACUGCACGAUGAGGCUGAAUCCCUGCAAUUAACUCUAACGAGCCUGGCUGAGCAGAGGAGGGAGCUGUUGGAACAAACCAGCGACGCCAUGUGGAACGAUUCGUCCUCGGCCGAGCGGGAGACCUACUGCUCACUGAUGGACGAGCUGAAGGGUGUGUGUUCCCGCCUGGAGGAAGGUGUGUGUGAUGAGGAACAGUUCGGUCAGUCAGUGCAGGCCUGCCAUCGUAAGUUGACAUCCCUGCAGGAAAGGAUGUCCGCCUGGCAAGCCCAGAAAGAAGCACCUCUGGAGGCUUUGCUUCAGGAAGUAACCGACGUAGAAGAAGACCUUUUACAAAUUGUAACACUGAAGGACUCCAUCACAGCCAGCUCUACAGCUGAGGCCCGGGCCAGCCUCUCCCAGCAAGUCAGCGACCUACAGAACCACAAGAGGGCAGUAGACGGUAGCGUCAGAGAACAUGUGGCUCUGCUCACAGAAAGCAACAACCGGAGAGUUCAACGUGUGAAGGAUGAGGUCACCUGUGUUCAAACCGC
rnacentral:lncRNA from 1 species